GACGAACGCUGGCGGCGUGCCUAAUACAUGCAAGUCGAACGCAUUUUCUUUCACCGUAGCUUGCUACACCGAAAGAAAAUGAGUGGCGAACGGGUGAGUAACACGUGGGUAACCUGCCCAUCAGCGGGGGAUAACACUUGGAAACAGGUGCUAAUACCGCAUAAUUCCAUUUACCGCAUGGUAAAUGGAUGAAAGGCGCUUUUGCGUCACUGAUGGAUGGACCCGCGGUGCAUUAGCUAGUUGGUGGGGUAACGGCCUACCAAGGCUGCGAUGCAUAGCCGACCUGAGAGGGUGAUCGGCCACACUGGGACUGAGACACGGCCCAGACUCCUACGGGAGGCAGCAGUAGGGAAUCUUCGGCAAUGGACGCAAGUCUGACCGAGCAACGCCGCGUGAUUGAAGAAGGUUUUCGGAUCGUAAAACUCGGUUGUUAGAGAAGAACAAGGAUGAGAGUGGAAAGUUCAUCCCUUGACGGUAUCUAACCAGAAAGCCACGGCUAACUACGUG
rnacentral:rRNA from 1 species